rnacentral:rRNA from 1 species
GAGGCAGCAGUGGGGAAUAUUGCACAAUGGGCGAAAGCCUGAUGCAGCCAUGCCGCGUGUGUGAAGAAGGCCUUCGGGUUGUAAAGCACUUUCAGUGAGGAGGAAAGGUUAGUAGUUAAUACCUGCUAGCUGUGACGUUACUCACAGAAGAAGCACCGGCUAACUUCGUGCCAGCAGCC